rnacentral:lncRNA from 1 species
UGUAAAAAACCAUUGAACGAUCCAGUACAAACUGAAUGUGGUCACCGGCUCUGUCACAGAUGUCUGCAAGAAAUUCUAAGUUAGGGUCGGCUACUGUGAAGCAAUAUAAAUUCUCACCAGUGGAAUGCUGUUCACUCAAAGUCUGAGAAACUAGCCUGAAGAAAGAAACAGCUCCUUUGUGGCCUGUCCAAUGCAAUCUUUUCGGUUUCCCUCCAUCUUUCCUAUCUUGAUUGUUUUCUCUUGUUAGCACUCGAGCGGCGGGUCAUGCCAGCGCCACCUUGCAAUCGUCGUUGCUAUCCUUCUCAAAACGCGUACAGCGUAGUUCUAUCUUCGUUUGCCAAGUUCUGAUACUCAGUCUUCAUCAUUGUUUUGAAUAAGGCUAUCGUUCUUACUGAUUCUUUCUGAUAUACAUGCUUGUCGCACGAUAUUGUAUAAAGGAGAAGGAGACGCGAUUGUUUGUGCAACCCCUUUUAUAUUUGGAGUUAUGACGUGGACCAACUAGAACCCAGUUAGCACGGCCGAUGCUUUGCACAACUACAUGAUCACGGAUAUCGAGAUGCAAAAAUAUCAUAAUGCUGUUGGCAUAAUGCAUUCUAUAAUCCUCGUUUACCACCACUAUAUCUGAUGUUUGUAUUUUUCGCUCCCAUCCAUACACUAAAAGCGCUGAUUCCAUAUUGAAUUGCUCUUUAGCAAGAUUACUUGUAUUUUGACACUGACCAUAUAUAUAAUAUGUCUUUUUCACUUUUUUUUCGUCUAAAGCAUUGAAGGCAAAAUGGAGUCUUGAUUCUUUGUCUUUGCUGGGACCAAUAUUUUUUCGCCAUAAUGAACCAAAAUGUGUGAAUUCCUCAGUCCUACUCUAUCAAUUUUCGUCCACAAAGAUUUAUCUUAUCCUGCGUGCAGGUCUUUCUCGUUGUUUGUAACUUUAUCUUGGUUUUCAUCUUUGUUAAUUGUAUUUCCUAAGUCUUUUCUGUCCAUUUUUUAAGUCAACAUAUUGCAGUUUUGUCCUGGAAGUCAUCAAAUUUUAUAAUGUCUUCAGCGAAAUCGAAAUCGGCUUCUUGUAUCCUCUGUAGUCCUUUCACACUAUGAUCGUCUUCACUCACUCUAGAACAGAUAGAAAGAGUAUUCAAGCAGAUAUAAUCGUCCACAUACUCGUAGUAGAGAGCGGAGUAGUUUCUACCUUUUCCCUUUACUUUCCUAAUCAGAAGCUUCACUGAAUCCUGGCUCAUUUUUGUAGCUCGAAAUGGGAAACACCCUCAUGCAUGGUCUUAUGCUAGCUUUAUCUGUUGAAAAUAACAUCCUCCCACUUAUCUAUGAUGAUGCCACAUGAUUUUAAGGAAGCUUCCAUAUCAUCCUUAAAGCGCUUUCUUUGACCACCCCCUUUCUUUGUUUGUGUGACGCAGUUAUUUUGGAAAUCGAGAAUUUUGCAUUCCAAAUAGAUGCCCAGCGAAAUUCUUCGACACUGGAACAAUUUACUUUACAAUUGUUCGUCGAUCUUCAAGUGUCGUCGAUAAAGUCGACGGGGAGCCAUUAAUAUAAAGGUAGAUGAUCUAUUGACUGGAGUUUAUUGUAUGUACUGUUCGUCAUUGCAUGUGGAGAAAAAACAGGGUGAAUACGGACCUGUAUCAACAAAGAGAUACAACAUUAGAUUUCUGUCAGGGCACAUUUAUUGAUGUAGAGAAUUUUGAGGAUAAGAUUUCAAGUGUGAACUGUCAAUAACAACUUCUACCAAAGAAUAAAGCUGAAGCUAUCGAUUACAACAAUCCACAAGAAUCGGAAAAGUUGGUACUACAUUCAUGAUAAAAACUGUUGGAAUACACAUUCAUGAUAUUUGGAGAAACCUGAUGGAAGACAAAUUCAUGAUAUUUGGAGAAACCUGAUGGAAGACAAAUUUAUGAUAUGUAAUGAUAUUUGGAGAAGAUUGAUGGAAUACACAUUCAUGAUAUUUGGAGAAACCUGAUGGAAGACAAAUUCAUGAUAUUUGGAGAAACCUGAUGGAAGACAAAUUUAUGAUAUGUAAUGAUAUUUGGAGAAGAUUGAUGGAAUACACAUUCAUGAUAUUUGGAGAAACCUGAUGGAAGACAAAUUCAUGAUAUUUGGAGAAACCUGAUGGAAGACAAAUUCAUGAUAUUUGGAGAAACCUGAUGGAAGACAAAUUUAUGAUAUUUGGAGAAACUGAUGUAAUGAUAUUUGGAGAAGAUUGAUGGAAUAUACAUUCAUGAUAUUUGGAGAAAACAGUGAUGGAAGACAAAUUCAUGAUAUUUGGAGAAACUGAUUGAAUGAUAUUUGGAGAAUAUUGAUGGAAGACAAAUUCAUGAUAUUUGGAUAAAAUUGAUGGAAUACAGAUUUAUGAAGGAUAUUUGGAGAAAACAGAUGGAAUACACAUUCAUAAUAUAGUUGAAGUCAAUUGAUGGAAUAUACACUGAAUGUACUACCUCCCUUCAAAGAAAACCACAAGAAUUUGGAAUGGUCCCAGAACUGUUACUGUUCGGAAGAUAUCAAAAAUAUUGGUUAUAAUUGUAUUCCAGAAAUCGUACAUUAUAUGUAUCACACCGACCAGUCACAAGAUAGGAUUCUCUAACCACAAAACUAAGAGAAAUGUAUGGCAGGAGUUUAGAUCCACAAGGAAACGACUACCUGAAUGAUUGCUUGGACGACAGUCCUUCGCAUGAGUUCUCGCAUACUGGACAUUCUUCUUUUGCCGAGAUUCAUUGGAUGGAAGGAUUAACUUUUAGCUGAUGUUGAAAAGGCUUGUUAAAAUUUACUAUACAAGAGGAGGAUCUGGCGUGAUAAAAUUAGAUUUGGCUAUUGACUGUGUUAGUACAAAUAGGCAAAAUCCUGAGAUUAUUACACUUCAAGAUGCAAAAGUGAAUUGAUUUUGAUGAUACAUUGCAUCAUCGCAUCAAUGAAGAUCUAGACAAUGGAUGUGAUGUGGACUAAUUUAAUCAUUAUAUCUUGCGUGAUGUGUUGUCCAUUGGAUCAAAUAAUUAGAAGAAGGGUGUGAACUGUAUAUCGGUGUAGAAGACUGCUAAAACGGUUUCAAUGAAGAAAACGUCCAACCUACUGAGGAAAUGGAAAUCAAACAACUCUAUGAGCUUGUGAAAUUGUUUAUAAAUGACUGCAACAGUUAAACCGUAACAGUAGAAGAAAAGAUUGAACAAGAUGACCAGCAAUAAAGUAAUCAUAAACAAUAUGGAUAAUGGUGAAAUUGAAGCUAAGAAUAGUAUUUUUGGAGUUCCAUCGAAAUGUUCUUCUGAAAUUUAACUCGGUCAGUAUAACACGGGUCUGUGCGCGAUGUUACUGCUUACGUGGAAACCAGUUCUUUGGGACGUAUAAAACUGAAUCCCACAGGUUUAUCCUGGGCUUAUAGCUCUAAUGAGUAAACAACAACAAUCUCUGCAUACCUGAAGAUAAAGGAUGGUGCUGCUCUAUACUCGACUCUGCUAUCACAGGGCCUCGCAGCCACGAAACAUACUGACGCCGUAACAGGCCGCAUAUCAUUCAAGGAAGUCUAAGUUUAAAGACAAACUACGGAAACCAUAUAGACAUACUCUUUGUUUGAAAGAUACUUGUUUGCAUACAAACUUGCCGACUUCAUCCAAUUCCUUAAAAGGUCCUCUCAGAAUCGCAAUAGGGGUUCAGAACAGAGAGUAUUACAAUUGGCAUGAUUUUCUGCCGGACAGUACAGGGAGACAAUAAAAGGACCAUUACAUGCCAUUCAUUAACCUGCAUCAGUUUUUAUCGAUAGCGGGCCUACCAAGAGCUUUGAAAUAAAGACAGGAGUUAAACAUGCCUGCUCAGUAUAGCCUAUACAUUGUUCUCCAUUUUCAUUCCUUGCUGUAUCAUACCAGUUGCAAUGGAGUACUCCUCAGACUCAGCACUCAGGUGUUCGAUAAUCAUCAGUAUCGGGACACUCAAAUUAACACGAAGAUAUUGGCUGAUAACGGCAUAAUAUUGAUAGCCUUAUUACAUGGAUCAGACGCUUGAAUCAUCUGCACUUCAGAAGCUUUGACUACUUACACUAGCCACUUAAAGGUCCCGGCGGAGUAGUAUCACUAGCGUUGUCUUCGUCGCAUACUUAAUGUCAAAUUGUGAGACAGACAAACCUACUGUUUUGGAUGAAGACGAUGCUGCAAGCAUUGAAUCUAUCAUUAUAAAGAAGCAACUUUGCUGGGAUGAUCAUAUAUCCGUGUUCCCCUAUCUCAGCUUCUCAUGAAAAUAUUUCAAAUACAAUGUGAGCUUUAAAAUGGUAUAAGCGAAAUAAGUGGUAGUAAACGAAAAACGUUCUCAAGGACAACUGGAAAGGCACAACAUGAGACAUGCGCUAUAAACGGCCUAUGGGACUACUGAGGAAGGCUAUCUCGGUAGAGAAACACCAAUACAGUGGUAUUGCGCACUGUGAACAACAAGGAAAGGAUCCUAAGACUUCGCUUUGCAAGAAACAAUUAACUGGCUGCUGUAGACGGCGCCGACUUAACCUCCUCUGUGCUUUAUGUGACCCACAAGCUUACGAACAUGAGCUCAGUCCGGGGCAUCAAAAAAACUCAAUACGAUUUUUACCGAAUAUUACCACAACUCCAACUCCGUGUGAUAGCACUGGAAAAUGAAUUCUUAACUCUGGACUUAUGAAAUUAUUAUCCAAUUAUAAUAUACAUUCUGCUGGUUGGAGGGCCCAUUGCAAUGAUUAGGAACAAAAGGAACGUCAUCAUCUUGCCGAACUUUGAUCCCCUAUGUUUGCUUGACAGUAAACGUAAUGAUCGCAGCCAAGAUCUUCAAUAAGCUCCUAUUCUGAAUCGCCUUUCUAUCUGCAGUAGACCUGCUGCUGCGCAACAAUCAGAACAGUUUCAGAAGGGGACGAUCCACCAACUCGCAGAUACUGUCCUUACGCCGCAUAAUAGCUGUAAUAGAAGAAAUGAGAAUAGGCUCGACAAAGAUUUCACGAUCUGCUUUGUCGACUUCAGAAAAGCAUUCGACUCCAUCAAACGAGAAGUUAUGUUCAACAUCCUUCCUUUAUACGGAAUUCCACUACUUAUCUUCGCGGCCAUUAAAUCACUCUAUACUGACACCCAGUUAUCUACAGUUAUCACUCCUGAUGGUGAAACCGAGUUUUUUGAUAUCGAGGCGGGAUAUCAGAUCUUGUCGCUAACGCCGUAUUAGGACUCCACUGGAACGAAAGUAAAAUCCCAAACUGCAGUUUUCUAUCAUCUGCCGGUAACGGUAUUAACCAAGUUGAAAACUUAAGCAUCUCGGGUCCUUCAUAAUGGCUUCCGAAAAAGACAUGAUGAUCAGCCUGUAAUAAGCUGAAUAACAUAUGGCAUUCGACCCUCGCCAAUGAAACGAAAGUACGUCUUUAUUAAUUGAGCCCAUUCUCCUCCACCGUGCAGAAACAUGAACACUUACCAAAAGCUAACAUAUCCUGGGAAAACCCCGUCCUUGUCGCAAAAGGUCGCCAUGAGUAGGCUGUCGUUCGCCGACAUUGCCAUCGGGCCACUUAGGAAAUAUUAUUGCCUUUAUUGCUGUGGAAACCUCGUGGCCUUGUCCGUUACAGAGGCCUCGCUUACCCAGAAAUGGAGACAGAGGACCUCCCUGUGGCCAUGGCGGACUGAGAAGUGUGGAAGCGUGUCAUCGAGUGUGCCCCCGGACCACUAGGGUCAGCUGGCUUUGAAAAAAGUAUUUAUUUCCCUCGGUAUUAUCAUUGCACCAGUGCAUAAGGAUUUUCUAUAAAGUCUACACGUUUCAUUGGUUAUGUGAAGCCUUUUGAAGACAUUAUUGGACAUUCAGUGAAACAGUCUAGUCCAUGAGAACUUAAAACUAACUGUAAGACAGAACAAUUGCAACAUUGUCCAGGGGCACAGAACCCUAGAGAUUAAGUAACUUCCUAAUUAAUAUCUGACAAACAAUGAUUUAUUGUGAAAGGGACUCAAAAGAACCAAAGAGCAAGUGUCCGUCAAAACCAGAUGUAAUUGAUCCAACAGGAGAUUUGCAAAAGAAGGAAACAAAGGAACCGAAUAAAUCUGUCACUCUACUGAGCAUGCUCAGUUCAGCUGAUGUGUAUGCAACAAAUCCUUGAGUGCUAUAUUUUGGGCUUUGAGCUACCACUCUUCUAUACUCAGAUCAGUAAUCAGUUAUUACUACCCUUAAAACCGGGCUGCACAAAGGACUGAUGUACAAUCAUUUGCGGUGAACUGACAGCAAAGGAACUUGGGUGGAACACAGAACAUUUAUGUAUACUGGAAAUACAAGCAGUGCUCAUUUUCAUGAUAGGUCUCCAAUUUGCGUUAUAUGCGAUGUCCAAGCAUUCUCUAGAGUUGGCAAUGACGUGGCUGGAACCUUUUUCAUUAGAGCUGUAAACCCAACGAAGACGGUGAGAAGCAAAGCAAAGUAUGUACAUUAAUUUGUUGUUUGCUUGAACAGCAUCAAGAACUGUUCAACCCACAACUUUUAACUGAUUUAUUGUUUAAACCAUUUAUAAGAUCUCUGGACAGGUCUAACAGAAAACGUGGUAUACCUCAGCCAAAAGUCCAUAACUAGAAUUGUUCAUCUCUAUCAUAAUGCCCUCACAAUCAGAUGUGCAGACAACCAAUCACAACGUGCACACAUCGAGUUUUAGAUUUAAAAGUUGUCAAAACUUUCGGUGUGGGACGGUGCUAUAAGGUAUGAAACACCUUAAGAUAUUGGCAUAUCAUUACUAAAGUAUAUGCCACAAUGUUGUUAUAUUUUUGUGUACAAGAAGAAAUUUAUCUGCAUUUCAUGUGAACGAACUUUUCAAUUCGAUUUAACAGACAUUUUAUUGUUUAAGACAUACACACGCAUGCUUAGUGCAUUUCUCCCUAGUGUCACUGGACAAUUCUAGUUGUGGACUUCUGCUCAGUUGAAUGUACGUAAUAAUGCAAAAAAAAAAAAUAGCAAAAAAAAGACAAAAAGACAAAAAAAAA